rfam:Nicotiana sylvestris Nsyl_contig50347, whole genome shotgun sequence.
AUAUCAUGGUGCGGACAUUUUAUUAACAUUACUUUUAAUCUUUCUCAAGCUUGAUAAACUGACUCAGCAUCAGUCUGUAAGAAAUUAGAUAUUUCUUGCCUUAACUU